rnacentral:rRNA from 1 species
AGCAGCCGCGGUAAUUCCAGCUCCAAUAGCGUAUAUUAAAGUUGUUGCAGUUAAAAAGCUCGUAGUUGAACUUCAGGCCUGGCUGGACGGUCCGCCCUCUGGGUGAGCACUGUCUGUGGUCGGGUCCUACCUUCUGGCGAAGCGGCAUGGCCUUAACCGGCCGUGGCGGGGAACCAGGACUUUUACUGUGAAAAAAUUAGAGUGUUCAAAGCAGGCACGCGCUUGAAUACAUUAGCAUGGAAUAAUGGAAUAGGACAAUGGUUCUAUUUGUUGGUUUCUAGGACCGUUGUAAUGAUUAAUAGGGAUAGUUGGGGGCAUUAGUAUUCAAUUGUCAGAGGUGAAAUUCUUGGAUUUAUUGAAGACUAACUACUGCGAAAGCAUUUGCCAAGGAUGUUUUCAUUAAUCAAGAACGAAAGUUAGGGAUCGAAGACGAUCAGAUACCGUCGUAGUCUUAACCAUAAACUAUAGACCGGACUAGGGAUCGGAUGAUGUUAAUUUUUAUGUACUCAUUCGGCGUACC